UACCGCGUCCACCUGAGGGGA
rnacentral:miRNA from 1 species